rnacentral:rRNA from 1 species
ACGCUCGACACCUACGAGGCAGCAGUGGGGAAUAUUGCACAAUGGGGGAAACCCUGAUGCAGCGACGCCGCGUGAAGGAAGAAGUAUCUCGGUAUGUAAACUUCUAUCAGCAGGGAAGAAAAUGACGGUACCUGACUAAGAAGCCCCGGCUAACUACGUGCCCGCAGCCGCGGUAAUCUGAGCGGGCUGGCAAGGC